rnacentral:rRNA from 1 species
CUACCCUACGGGGGGCAGCAGUGGGGAAUAUUGGGCAAUGGGCGCAAGCCUGACCCAGCAACGCCGCGUGAAGGAAGAAGGCUUUCGGGUUGUAAACUUCUUUUAAGAGGGAAGAGUAGAAGACGGUACCUCUUGAAUAAGCCAUGGCUAACUACGUGCCACCAGCCGCGGUAAUACGUAGGUGGCAAGAGUUGUCCGGAUUUACUGGGUGUAAAGGGCGUGUAGCCGGG